rnacentral:rRNA from 1 species
AGAGUUUGAUCCUGGCUCAGGACGAACGCUGGCGGCGUGCUUAACACAUGCAAGUCGAGCGAUGAAACACCUUCGGGUGUGAAUUAGCGGUGAACGGGUGAGGAACACGUGAGAAAUCUGCCUUCAACACUGGGAUAACUCCGGGAAACCGGGGCUAAUACCGGAUAUGAAAUCUGCGGGCAUCCGCGGAUUUGGAAAGUUUUUCGGUUGAAGAUGAUCUCGCGGCCUAUCAGCUUGUUGGUGAGGUAAUGGCUCACCAAGGCGACGACGGGUAGCCGGCCUGAGAGGGCGACCGGCCACACUGGGACUGAGACACGGCCCAGACUCCUACGGGAGGCAGCAGUGGGGAAUAUUGGGCAAUGGAGGAAACUCUGACCCAGCGACGCCGCGUGCGGGAUGAAGGCCUUCGGGUUGUAAACCGCUUUCAGCAGGGAAGAAGCGAAAGUGACGGUACCUGCAGAAGAAGCACCGGCUAACUAUGUGCCAGCAGCCGCGGUAAUACAUAGGGUGCAAGCGUUGUCCGGAAUUAUUGGGCGUAAAGAGCUCGUAUGUGGUUCGUCACGUCGGAUGUGAAACUCUGGGGCUUAACCCCAGACCUGCAUUCGAUACGGGCGAGCUUGAGUAUGGUAGGGGAUCUGGAAUUCC